rnacentral:misc_RNA from 1 species
UGAUUUUGUAUUUUAUCAAUAUGGAAAUUGAGCAAACAUCCAAUCCCCCUUUCACUUUGCAAUAAUAAAAUGCACUUGAGAAUAAAUGAUAGACCUCGUUAGAUUGGGUAAGCAAAGGAAUGGAUGCAAGUUGAAAUUAGAGGGCUUGAUCAUACAGAACAUAAAUACAUAUGGUUGAAAAUUCAUCCUUUCAUUCUUAGAGCACCUGAAAGGAGAUGAUUUACACACUACCAACAUUUACUCAACAUCCUCC